AGAGUUUGAUCCUGGCUCAGAACGAACGCUGGCGGCGUGGAUAAGACAUGCAAGUCGGACGAGAUUUUUCGCUGUAGCAAUACGGUGGAAAAUUUAGUGGCGAACGGGUGCUUAACACGUGGGCAACCUGCCGAGAAGUGGGGGAUAGCUCGCCGAAAGGCGAAUUAAUACCGCAUGUGAUUAGAGAGGACAUCCUUUCGAAAUUAAAGUCGGGGCAACCUGACGCUUUUUGUGGGGCCCGCGGCCUAUCAGCUAGUUGGUGAGGUGACGGCUCACCAAGGCUUUGACGGGUAGCUGGUCUGAGAGGACGACCAGCCACACUGGGACUGAGACACGGCCCAGACACCUACGGGUGGCAGCAGUCGAGAAUUUUUGACAAUGGGGGAAACCCUGAUCGAGCGACGCCGCGUGGAGGAUGAAGGUCUUCGGAUUGUAAACUC
rnacentral:rRNA from 1 species